GACGUAGGGCGCAAGCGUUGUCCGGAAUUAUUGGGCGUAAAGAGCGCGUAGGCGGUCCGGUAAGUCAGCUGUGAAAGUCAAGGGCUCAACCCUUGAAAGCCGGCUGAUACUGCCGGACUAGAGUCCGGAAGAGGCGAGUGGAAUUCCCGGUGUAGCGGUGAAAUGCGCAGAUAUCGGGAGGAACACCAAUGGCGAAGGCAGCUCGCUGGGACGGUACUGACGCUGAGACGCGAAAGCGUGGGGAGCAAACAGG
rnacentral:rRNA from 1 species